UGGGGAAUCUUGCGCAAUGGGCGAAAGCCUGACGCAGCGACGCCGCGUGCGGGAAGAAGGCCUUCGGGUUGUAAACCGCUUUCAGGAGGGACGAAGCCACUCGGGUUAAUAGCCCAGAGGGUGACGGUACCUCCAGAAGAAGCCCCGGCUAACUACGUGCCAGCAGCCGCGGUAAUACGUAGGGGGCAAGCGUUGUCCGGAUUUAUUGGGCGUAAAGAGCGUGUAGGCGGUCAUGCAGGUCCGCUGUGAAAACUGGAGGCUUAACCUCCAGACGUCGGUGGAAACCGUAUGACUAGAGUCCGGAAGAGGAGAGUGGAAUUCCUGGUGUAGCGGUGAAAUGCGCAGAUAUCAGGAAGAACACCCGUGGCGAAGGCGGCUCUCUGGGACGGUACUGACGCUGAGACGCGAAAGCGUGGGGAGCGAACAG
rnacentral:rRNA from 1 species